CCGGAAUUAUUGGGCGUAAAGAGCUCGUAGGCGGUUUGUCGCGUCUGCUGUGAAAACCCGAGGCUCAACCUCGGGCCUGCAGUGGGUACGGGCAGACUAGAGUGCGGUAGGGGAGAUUGGAAUUCCUGGUGUAGCGGUGGAAUGCGCAGAUAUCAGGAGGAACACCGAUGGCGAAGGCAGAUCUCUGGGCCGUAACUGACGCUGAGGAGCGAAAGCAUGGGGAGCGAACAGGAUUAGAUACCCUGGUAGUCCAUGCCGUAAACGUUGGGAACUAGAUGUGGGGACCAUUCCACGGUCUCCGUGUCGCAGCUAACGCAUUAAGUUCCCCGCCUGGGGAGUACGGCCGCAAGGCUAAAACUCAAAGGAAUUGACGGGGGCCCGCACAAGCGGCGGAGCAUGCGGAUUAAUUCGAUGCAACGCGAAGAACCUUACCAAGACUUGACAUAUACGAGAACGGGCCAGAAAUGGUCAACUCUUUGGACACUCGUAAACAGGUGGUGCAUGGUUGUCGUCAGCUCGUGUCGUGAGAUGUUGGGUUAAGUCCCGCAACGAGCGCAACCCUCGUCCUAUGUUGCCAGCACGUAAUGGUGGGAACUCAUGGGAUACUGCCGGGGUCAACUCGGAGGAAGGUGGGGAUGACGUCAAAUCAUCAUGCCCCUUAUGUCUUGGGCUUCACGCAUGCUACAAUGGCCGGUACAAAGGGCUGCAAUACCGCAAGGUGGAGCGAAUCCCAAAAAGCCGGUCUCAGUUCGGAUUGAGGUCUGCAACUCGACCUCAUGAAGUCGGAGUCGCUAGUAAUCGCAGAUCAGCAACGCUGCGGUGAAUACGUUCCCGGGCCUUGUACACACCGCCCGUCAAGUCAUGAAAGUCGGUAACACCCGAAGCCAGUGGCCUAACCCGCAAGGGGAGGAGCUGUCGAAUG
rnacentral:rRNA from 1 species